rnacentral:rRNA from 1 species
AACGAACGCUGGCGGCGUGCUUAACACAUGCAAGUCGAACGGAGAAUUUUACUUCGGUAAAAUUCUUAGUGGCGAACGGGUGAGUAACGCGUAGACAACCUGCCUCUUAGAUGGGGACAACAUCGCGAAAGCGGUGCUAAUACCGAAUGAAGUGGAGCUUCCGCAUGGAAGCAUCACCAAAGGUGGCCUCUAUUUAUAAGCUACCACUGAGAGAUGGGUCUGCGUCUGAUUAGCUAGUUGGCGGGGUAAUGGCCCAUCAAGGCGACGAUCAGUAGCCGGUCUGAGAGGAUGAACGGCCACAUUAGUACUGAAACACGGCCCAAACUCCUACGGGAGGCAGCAGUGGGGAAUCUUCCGCAAUGGACGGAAGUCUGACGGAGCAACGCCGCGUGAGUGAAGAAGGUUUUCGGAUCGUAAAGCUCUGUUGUUUGAGACGAAUGUGCAGACUUUGAAUAAGGGUUUGUAAUGACGGUAUUAAACGAGAAAGCCACGGCUAACUACGUGCCAGCCGCCGCAGUAACAC